GGGGGGGUUCCAACCCCCGGACCCCUUGGAUCUGCCACUGCCAAGCACUCUUUGUAUUUAUAAUUCAACUUAAUUGUAAUUACAACCUUUAGAAAAAAAUAUAGAAAGAUUUUUUUCAAUUUCUUUUUUUUGUAAUUAGGUCAAAUAAAAUAAUAUCUGUGUUCAUGCUAUUCAGCUAUUACAUCUUUGAAAAAAUAGGAUAGGUAGGGAUUUUUUUUUAUUU
rnacentral:lncRNA from 1 species